GAUGAAGAACGCAGCGAAAUGCGAUACGUAAUGUGAAUUGCAAAUUCAGUGAAUCAUCGAGUCUUUGAACGCACAUUGCGCCCCCUGGUAUUCCGGGGGGCAUGCCUGUCCGAGCGUCAUUGCUGCCCUCAAGCACGGCUUGUGUGUUGGGCCCCGUCCUCCGAUCCCGGGGGACGGGCCCGAAAGGCAGCGGCGGCACCGUGUCCGGUCCUCGAGCGUAUGGGGCUUUGUCACCCGCUCUGUAGGCCCGGCCGGCGCUUGCCGAUCAACCCAAAUUUUUAUCCAGGUUGACCUCGGAUCAGGUAGGGAUACCCGCUGAACUUAAGCAUAUCAAUAAGCGGAGGA
rnacentral:misc_RNA from 1 species